rnacentral:lncRNA from 1 species
AGUCCUUUCGGAACCCUGCCUUCAUUGCUCGGCUGGCUCCAGGGGUCUGGCGGGCUAAUACCCGGGACCCAAGAAAGUGUCUAAUGACCCUUACCAGAACGGGUCCCGAAGGAUGGGACUCCAUAAUACGUGGGGUGCACACAUCCAAGCCCGACUUUGACGGGUUAUGGGUGCAAGUGUGGAAAGAAACGACAGGAGAACAAACUUGGGAAGCCGGACCAAGCGACACUUCCCUGUCCCUAAGUCAGUCUCCAGAGCGACCGGCAGCACUCGGCCGCGACCCCAGGAUGUCGCUCCUCCACCCCAACCCCCAGUUCUCACGGCUCGGAACCCCCAAAGGGGCUCGGAGAUCCUUCGCCCAGAGUUCUCCACUCUCAGGAUCCCGGGCUCGCGGGGGUGCGGAGAAGAGGACCCAGGAAAGGUUCUUGUCUGGAUGCCUGCAGUGUGGGGGUGGGAAGAACAGGGAAGAAAGAUUGAAGUGGCUUCUAAGUAUUCUUUUCUAGACUUAGGGCUUGGGGUGGCGGUGCUGACUUAAAACAAAAGUCAAAAUUGGAAAAGCAUUCCGUAGCUUCGCCUUUCCCCAGGUUUGGGACUCUGCUUUCCUGAGAAUGUCAGACUCUUCUUAAGCGAACUGCAGUUCAAAUCCUAACCUCUUCUCAGACCUUGGCGCAGCAGCUUCGAACCCGAGGCCUUGGAGAGUGAACUGUGAGCGCUGCCCAGCAGCUGAUUGCUGGAGAAGUGAAGGUCAAAGAUAAAGAGCGGAGAGGGUAGUAAAAAGGCAGAGACUGCUGGCAGGAGCUGCUAUGGCACCGUGAGCUGCAGCUGAUCUCCGGGGUGAGUGCAAAGGUUACCAUCACUACAGCUGUUCCACCCAGAGUCACAGAGCCUCACUCUAGGACACAAGCUAGCCUGGACUGCACGAGGACCCUCCAGCAAGAUGAAUGGUGCUUCUGAAAAUUUUUUCCCCAUUGAGGACUCUGCUGCCUGGUCCAGCCAGUUGUACAAUCGCUUCAAGACUGCAGCAUGGCAAUCACAUGAACCGUCGCAGCGGAUCAAGUUUAAGACUCUUCUGCUACAUGAGCAAAGGACCCCCUCUUUGAUGGACCCAGAACUAGCCUCUCCCACAAAGACCCUCCUCAGCAAAAAAAAAAAAAAAAAAAAAAAAAA